CGUAGUGUAGCUUAACCAAAGCAUCUUGCUUACACCUUAAAAAUGUCCGUUAAAACCAGACCACUCCGA
rnacentral:tRNA from 1 species